GUUUUUAAGUUUCACCUUCAUACCCGAUAAGGGUUUUCAUCUUCAUGCCUAAUAGGGAUCUCAAAUCUCAUUUCUUCGACGGACAAAUCUCGAGCAAAUCUUAGUUCUUGGAGUCCAGAAAAUUGGAACUGAAGGACAAUAAUCACAAAGAAAGAGAGAGAGAAAGAAGCAGAUGAAGAUGAUGGAUUAACCUCAAGGCUCAUCAUCCCAACCCACUGUGACCCGAGUCCUUUGGUUUUCUCAGAUAGCGACUGCAGCAAGUCCACAGCAUCAAGUUCAAUAAUAUUUUGAUAAACAGUUAUGGAUUUUGAUAUCAAGUUGUACAUUGGGAGCUUUAGCACAUUUAAAUGCUUUUUGGUUGUAUUGAGGAAUGCAAUUUGUGGUUGAAAUUAGAUGCAAAUUAUUUCUUCAAUGCAAGUUAGUUAUAGGAAUAUUCUGAUAGGUGUACAUGGUGAUUUUCAUCAAGUAAAUGUACAUGAAGGCUAGGGUACAUAUAGUGCAUAGCA